ACCUGUCCAGGCUGCUGAUGUGUCUGUCAUUGGCCAGGACAAGCCACAUGUCCAUGACGAACACCAAGAAGGCAGGGAAGUGCAAUCCUUGGAAGUGCCCAGAGGAAAGGGAACCAGAUCCUGGGGAUGCAUCCUGCACCAAUAAUGAAUCAUUAUCCUCCUCAUUUAUAGAGGAUAAAACCAACACUCGGACUAAAAACACUCAUUAAAGGACACUCUACCACAGGGCUGCAUCUUGAAAUUCCUGGGCCUUCAGAACAUUGGACUCCUUCCUCCAUUAAAAAAGCCUGUGCUGCUGUGGUGGCCGAAGCCCUGAGGUCUAGAUCAGCACUGUCCAAGUGAAACAGGAUGUGAGCCACACACACAACUUCGAAUUUUCUAGUAAUCACGUUAAAAAAGUAAAAGGAAGCAGGUUUUGGCAUCAUGCUGCUUGUACUUUCAUUUUGUAUUCAUUACCUUCUGCUUCACUCGAUUAUUUUAUAUUUUUGAAAGCUUCAAAAUGUAAAGAGAGACAUUUGAACUAGAGCUAAUGUCUGCCGCAGAGUGCUGCCGUCAUCAGAUGCGUUAGCCUGGCUGCUCUUUACGACAGCUACGUGGUCUGCUGGUCAGGGGAGUGUUCGCAGAGGCUCCUUGACUUUCAGAAGAAGGCAUCAGUGUUCCUGCCUGCAACCCGCCGGUAGAUUAGAAAAGUCGUCUUCCGGGCUCCUGCAGAAGCUACACUCUCAAAUUUCCCUUCGCCCCGAUCUUAACCAAGCUUAGCUGCUUAACUAUGUUCAUACUUACAAACGCCCGAAGAAUCUUCGCCCCAUCCAUUUAUCAACAUCAAUAG
ensembl:lncRNA